rnacentral:lncRNA from 1 species
AUUGGACAUAAUUUGGCUUAUAUAUAAACGAUAACAUAAUUUGUCCCUAGUGUGUAGUUUAUAUAGUGCAGCCAGUCUCGAGAUAAAGAUACAUCUAGGUGAUCCCAAGUUGUUACACACAAAUCUUCUCCAUUCAACCUUCUGACGGAGCUUCACAUAAAUUUACUUGAUUGAGAAAUGCUCCAUCUCAUUUAACUCAGCCAUGCUAAACCCAGCUUUCUCAACAUAUUUGGUAGCAUUUAAGAUUCUCUGAAAUCUGCCUUGGUACUUCUUAUAUAGCACCCUAUUCCUACCAUAGUAACACUCGAUCAACUUGAUACUGUCUGUAUUUUAUAUGCACACGUAGUCGGUAGUCCUUAUUUUAAAAAAAAAAAACAGUUUUUUCUCUUUUUACAGGUAUUGCGUGCUGGCUAUUCUGUAGCUGCACCAGUGGAUUGGUGUUGUGAAAUAUGUGAAACUGGCAAGAGGGUUAUUUCUUCAUACUCUGAGGGAUCCAAGUUACAUGCCUCAGCAAAGAUUUGUCAGACUACUCUGCCACCAAAAUAUCGUAUUAAGUUUCCAAGUGGGCAUAGUAUUAACUGGGAAAAGGAGGUACACACAGGGAAAACAAGAUAUCUACCUGUUGAAGAAGCACUCAGUCUAUCAUCGGACAUCAAGAAAUAUGGGUGUCCACGGAAGAAAACUGUGUCUUCAAGAGUUCUGUCAACCAAAUCCACGACGAUUGAGACUCGAGGGAAUUUAAGCAAACCUAGAACUUAGAUUUCAGAUGCCUUUCCUAAGAAGAGAACAGUGCAGCGUUCUUUAGGAUCGGCAGGAUAUAUGAAACCUCGCAAUUUCCCAAAUUUCAGAAAACUAAACUGAGCAUAAAACAAGUAUAAUCUUCUAAAGGUUAAUUUUCACCAACAUUUCUUGUAUUCAUUACUUGUUCAAAUAUAUACUUUUCUUAUAUGUUCAUUCAUCAAAAAAUUGAUUUUCUAUCAUAUAAUUUUAUAAU